AAUGUCAAGACCAUAUGCUGCAGCUGAGUAAGUAUCUUGCAGAGGGAGCCACAGCUGGUCUAUAUUUAAGAGAGAGACAGCCAGGCACAUUAUCAGCUAGUUAAUUUACUGAAAAUUCCAGGUGAUAUCCAUGACUUGCACCUCUUCCAAAGGACAGACUUUCCUGGUCUGGUGCCCUCCAGAGAUUUUGGAUGCGUCCCAAAGACACAUCCAGCAUGCUCACCAUCGUAAAAGAAAGGCUCUUGCUUUGGAAUGUACUUCCCGAUUAAUUGUGACUGUAGGGGCUUUCCUUAAUAGUCUGCCUCUUUGAGGUUGAACACAUAAGAAAUCAAAAACAAUGCAUUGCUGAUUAAGAGAAGAACUAUAGAGGGUGCUAGAAUCCUGGUUAAGACAACAUAAGUGCAUUCCACUGUUAAAACUGCUGCUACCAAAGCUAUUUGUUGGAAAGUACAGUACAGUAUAUGUUUGACAAUGGGGGCCCCCCUCAGAACUGUUUUUAAGAUGGAGGAGAUUGAAGACAGGCAAGCAGGUAAUGAUGUGUUUUGCUGACCUGAAGGCAUGUUUUACCUCUGCUUAUUUAAUAGGCUAAAUAAAUUAAUCAUCUGCCAUAGUCUGCUAAAUAUU
rnacentral:lncRNA from 1 species